rnacentral:rRNA from 1 species
AGAGUUUGAUCCUGGCUCAGAUUGAACGCUGGCGGUUGCUUAACACAUGCAAGUCGAACGGAGGCUUCGCGCUGAAUGGACGGGUGAAACGCGUAGAAUCUGCUGGGGGGGACAACGUGGGAAACUCCUACCGCAACCCUACGGGGAGGGGGGUCUUCGGACCUCGCGCUUCAUGAGCCUGCUUAAUUAAUAGUUGGUGGUAAGGCCUACCGGCGACAUGUAUCUGGUCUGAAGACAUCCCUGGACUGAACACGCCCAGACUCCACGAGGCCGGGAAUAUUGGACAAUGGGCGCACUGUUCCAUACCGCGGUGUGAAAGCCUUAGGUUGUAAGAUUUCUUGAGAAACUGCGGUCAUACCCUCUUGACUUACCUUUAACCCGCAUCCUGCCCACCGCGUACGGGGUGCAGCGUUAAUCAAUUACUGGCGUAGCGUGUAGCGGUUCGUUAAGUCGAUGUGAAAGCCCCGGCUUAACCUGAACUGC